ensembl:lncRNA
GACCUGAGUCUUCUCCUUCUUCUUGUCUCGUCGUGCUCGCUUUCGGAUCGUCUCGCUGCUGCUCCCGACUGCACGCAAGGCUUCAGUAUUGGUCCUGUGGGAUUUUCAAAACCUCAGCAACCCUGAUCCAAUCAGCUUGUGGCAAGAGAACUACCAUAUGUUUGGAAAUCUUGGAGAAAUAAAGCAUUUGCCUGAAGUACAUUCAGAGAAGAUGUGAAGACAGCCUGAUCUAGAUGAUCCUGGGAGAAGCUGGCUGGAUGGUAGUUUUAUGUCUUUCCAGUUCCUGGGAAAUCACAGAAUCAUAGCAUCAGCAAGAUUGCAAAAGACCUCUGAGAUCACCCAGUCCAACCAUCCACCUAUCACUAAUAUUUCCCACUAAACCAUGUCCUUCAGUACAACAUCUAAAUAUUUAUUGAGCACCUCCAGGGACAGUGACUCCACCACCUGCCUGGGCAGCCCAUUCCAGUGCCUGACCACACUCUCGAAAAAGAAGUAUUUCCUAACAUUCAACCUGAAUCUCCCCUGGCACAACUUGAGGCCAUUUCCUCUAGCCCUGCUGCUAGAUACAUAGGAGAAGAGAGAUAUGAGUCUCUUACAACAAAAGUCUGAGGUUCAGAACAAGCUGUGAAACACUCUUUGAUGGCUGCUUCCCAACACUUCCACACAGAUAGGGAAGGCUGAGAACUGCUGCCUGCCAGCUGCAGCAUGCACACUGCUCAUCAGCACCAAACCUUUCUGAACUGUGACUCUGCGUGUGCCUGAACUCUUCCGCUGCCAUUCCUUACCCCUCCCAGAUGACCCCAUGUCCAUGUCUUCAGUGUAAGUAUGCUUAUAUACAAAUUAUAUGACAUGUCUGGAACUGAGAAUCAUCAAAUUCAUUGAAGUGUGGAGAUGCCCACUCUGUUAGCCCAGUGAAUGUGGCAGUGCAGCUAAUGGCAAACACUCAAGUGCUGGGAGCCCCAUUUGAGCAACUGCAUCUGUGCAGAAACCUGGUGGAGCCCAGCAGUGCUCUCACAGCACAGCACUCAGCCUGGGCAAACUGAGACCCGUAGGACUUGUAAUUAAAACUUUACAGCUCUGUGCUAUGGCAUAAUGUAUCUAGCAAAAAUUACAAGUUUUUAUUGUUGAAAUAUCAAAAAAUAGUGCCUGUAAUGCAGAAAGAAUGCAUUGCCAGGCACAAUUACUGUUAGGUAAAAAGCAAUCACUGUUGUUGAUUCAGACUUGGUUUUCCUGCCUUUUGUAUUGUCAAGUAUUGGCUUGACAAAGUGUUAGGUAUCCCUAAUACAGUAUUCCAUGGAGAACUUAAGCAACAUGGCAUCUCAUUUUUCAAGGCUACCCAACAACAGAGCCUGAAGUAUAUAUAGCUUUCUUUUCUGGUCAUCAGUAACAUGGAAGAUAAUAAAAUAUUUAUGUU